GCCGGAGUCACCUUUGCAGAUGAGAAAUUCGGAGUACCACUCUUCAACCUUUCUUUGGACCCCGGCUUUUGCUUCGCUCGCCAUACGUGGAGAAGAUGAAGCAAAGCCUGUUUGGGACUGCCCGUGAGGGCCUACCGCGCAAGCGGUCUGCAAUUUGGCAUCAGAAACUCGGGGCUUCUUGCGUCACAGCAGAAGAACUUCUCCCCAUGGAAAAGCCGUUGCGAAGAUUGUAUCACGUUGUUCGUCCUGUAAGAAGGCGGCGACGGGGUUACUUGAGUGCAAUCGCAGCGGGAUCACAUUCUUGCAAGCCUUGAUCCAGGGCUGCGGGAAUGCGGUCUCCAUUCGAUUCCGAUUACUCUGGGGGGCGGC
rnacentral:RNase_P_RNA from 2 species